rnacentral:rRNA from 1 species
GAUCCUGGCUCAGAAUCAACGCUGGCGGCGUGCCUAACACAUGCAAGUCGAACGCGAAAGGGGCUUCGGCCCUGAGUAGAGUGGCGAACGGGUGAGUAACACGUGGGUGACCUGCCUUCGAGUGGGGGAUAACGUCCCGAAAGGGACGCUAAUACCGCAUGACAUCCCGCCUUUGAAGUGGCGGUGAUUAAAGCUGGGGAUCGCAAGACCUGGCGCUUGAAGAGGGGCCCGCGCCCGAUUAGCUAGUUGGUGGGGUAAUGGCCUACCAAGGCUUCGAUCGGUAGCCGGCCUGAGAGGGCGGACGGCCACACUGGGACUGAGACACGGCCCAGACUCCUACGGGAGGCAGCAGUGGGGAAUUGUUCGCAAUGGGCGCAAGCCUGACGACGCAACGCCGCGUGGAGGACGAAGAUUUUCGGAUCGUAAACUCCUUUCGAUCGGGACGAAUCGUCUCCGACCUAAUACGUCGGGGGACUGACGGUACCGAGAGAAGAAGCCCCGGCUAACUCCGUGCCAGCAGCCGCGGUAAUACGGGGGGGGCAAGCGUUGUUCGGAAUUACUGGGCGUAAAGGGCGCGUAGGCGGCCUGCUAAGUCGGACGUGAAAUCCCUCGGCUCAACCGGGGAACUGCGUCCGAUACUGGCGAGGCUUGAAUCCGGGAGAGGGAUGUGGAAUUCCAGGUGUAGCGGUG